AUACUUACCUGGUGUAGAGAUUUCUUUGAUCAAGAAGGAAGAUUCUCCGAAGUGAGGCGCGUCAUUGCACUUCGACGUGGCUGACCUUUGCGAUUAGAUCUCAAGUAUCUAACUCGUACACGUUAUUUUUGAUAGCAGGGAAAAGCGUUCGCGCUAUCCCUUU